rnacentral:rRNA from 1 species
CCUCAAAUCAGGUAGGACUACCCGCUGAACUUAAGCAUAUCAAUAAGCGGAGGAAAAGAAACUAACAAGGAUUCCCCUAGUAACUGCGAGUGAAGCGGGAAAAGCUCAAAUUUAAAAUCUGGCGGCUUCGCCGUCCGAGUUGUAAUCUGGAGAAGCGUUUUCCGUGUUGGACCGUGUACAAGUCUCUUGGAACAGAGCGUCAUAGAGGGUGAGAAUCCCGUCUUUGACACGGACUACCAAUGCUUUGUGAUACGCUCUCGAAGAGUCGAGUUGUUUGGGAAUGCAGCUCAAAAUGGGUGGUAAAUUCCAUCUAAAGCUAAAUAUUGGCGAGAGACCGAUAGCGAACAAGUACCGUGAGGGAAAGAUGAAAAGCACUUUGGAAAGAGAGUUAAACAGUACGUGAAAUUGUUGAAAGGGAAACGCUUGAAGUCAGUCGCGUUGUCCGGGACUCAGCCUUGCUUCUGCUUGGUGUAUUUCCUGGUUGACGGGCCAACAUCGAUUUUGGACGGCGGAUAAAGGUGAGGGGAAUGUGGCAUCCUUGGAUGUGUUAUAGCCUCUCGUCGGAUGCGUCGUCUGGGAUCGAGGACCGCAGCACGCCUUUUUGGCCGGGGUUCGCCCACGUUAAGUGCUUG